AAUUUAGCAAUUCAGCUGAGAGCUUAACGAUCACAGUAAACAAUGGAAUAUGUAUGAUAGGAAAGAAAGAAUGCUUAUCCUGCCAUCACCUACGAACACCGCUCGAUUACUUCACUUUUAAAACUGCCGCAUUAAAUCGCAGUUUAAUCCGUCGAAUAAGCCACCCUGACAGUCGCCGCAAUGGCGUACUUCUCAUCAAUCCUUGGCGGCACCAUCCUUUCUCCUACCAGCCUCUCUCGGACGCACCCUUCUUUCAUACAUAUUCAUAAACACUACAGCUGCAAUGUAUUCAAGAGGAACUUGAGCUGCAGAUCAACCGCGCCUCCUGAUACUAGUACGAAAUUUUCAUUUCCUACUUGCAAUAAUAGCUAUCCUCCUUACGAGCGCCUUCUUCCCUGUCCGUCACAGAAUGGACCUCCAAGGGUAGAACACUUGGUUGUUUUAGAAGGAAGCCCUGUUCUUGAGUACAUUAGUAAAGCUCUGGAUAUUCCACCCCUAUUUGUUUCAGACCUGAUUCACUUUGGUGCUGUAUUUUACGCUCUUGUAUGCCCGGUCCCCCCUCGAACUGCUACACAUGAGCAAAUAAAAGCUUUCAAGAAAUUUACAGAUCCAUCACUUCUAAGAAAUAGAUCAUCUAUCAAAGGGAAGACCAUACGAGAAGCGCAAAAAACUUUUCGCAUAACUUGCACGGAUGAGUUUGUCGAAUCUGGAACUUACUUACGGGUUUAUGUACAUCCAAGACGUUUUCCAAGAUGCUACGAGAUUGACUGGAGAUCUCGAAUUAUUGCUGUGAAUGAAAGCUAUGUGGUCUUGGAUAAACCAGCCGGUACAUCAGUUGGAGGAACCUCAAACAAUAUUGAAGAAACUUGUGCAACAUUUACUACUCGUGCCUUAGGACUGGACGAUACGUUGAAGACUACCCACCAGAUUGAUAAUUGCACCGAGGGCUGUAUAGUGUUAGCAAGAACAAAGGAAUAUUGCUCAGUUUUUCAUGGAAAAAUUCGGGAUAAAAAGGUUAAGAAGCUCUAUCUAGCACUUGCUGCUGCUCCUGUACCAGUUGGAAUACUUACACACUAUAUGCGCCCAGUCAAUAUUGCACCGCGACUUGUAUCUGAAGAUUUCAUCAGCGAUUGGCCUUUGUGUCAACUUGAGGUCUUAGAGUGCAAGAAGGUUCCUUGGCCAAAUGAUAUAAUUGAAGAACAAAACAAAAUCGAAGUUUGUGGAUGGCCAAAUAGAGAUUUUGCAUAUGAGUGCAAAAUCAACCUCUUGACAGGUCGGACGCACCAGAUUCGAGCACAAUUGGCUGCUUGUGGUGCCCCUCUAGUGGGUGACACAAUGUACAUGCCGGCUGUGAUUUCUGAAGCUGAAUACCGCGGGCUUAACCCUUUUGGCCCGAACAAGAAAGAGUACUCCAGUGACGAUGCCAAAGCCACAGCUGUUGAAGAAUGGAUUGCACACCACGGAAAGGAACCUACUGUUGCCAUUGCUCUUCAAGCAUGCCACAUUUCGUGGGACGACGGGGAGCAUACUUACGAGGCUGGAUCACCAUGGUGGAGUAUAACUUGAGUACUGAGUUAGAAGGAGCAGGCUAAGUCCAUUGACAUUCCAUACGAUAGCGCCGAUGUUGAUCAAUCCUUUGUCCGGAUCCGCCCUAUUGCUACACAAAUUAUGGCCACAGCAGAAUGUUCAGUGCUCGUCGAUGGUAGCCUUCAGCAUCAAUGGAAUGUCACGUGGUCAGAUGGCAACACCAACCCACAUCCAUGAACAGGUUUUUGGUUGUAUUUGCGCGUGUCCCAUUCUCUUCUCCAAUACGGUUUAUAUUCAAGAUUCAAUCUAUACUACUUUGUCAAUGGAGGUCAAGCUACUUAAGGAGCCACAAGAGAGAGAUGAUAAUUUUCUGAGCAUUCCAGUGAUACAUUGAGCACCGCUGCUGACUGAUUUAGGGGAAAAUGCAGAUGUGAGAGCUGAUCAGAGAGCAACAGCAACUCGUGUCUUCUUACAACUGAACAUUAUAUUGAACUUGUGUCUUCUUACCAAUAGUUUGUGGCAGCAUGAACAUGAUUGUUGGUUUGAGGUGAGAAUGUAAAUAAGCGAGUAAAUUUGUUUCUCUCAGAUUUAUCUCAGUAGGAUUUAGUUGCAUUUCAUGGAAAGGUAACACAUUAGAUUAAACUUGUUCUCUCAUCAUCGAGAUGAACUUUCUAGUAUGAAAAUUAUAGCUUUCAU